UACAGAGGGUGCGAGCGUUAAUCGGAAUUACUGGGCGUAAAGGGUGCGUAGGCGGUUAUUUAAGUUAGAUGUGAAAUCCCCGGGCUUAACCUGGGAAUUGCAUUUGAUACUGGAUGGCUAGAGUAGAGUAGAGGGAAGUGGAAUUUCCGGUGUAGCGGUGAAAUGCGUAGAUAUCGGAAAGAACAUCAGUGGCGAAGGCGGCUUCCUGGACUCAUACUGACGCUGAGGCACGAAAGCAUGGGGAGCAAACAGG
rnacentral:rRNA from 1 species